UGUGAGCGGGCGCGGGAGGGUGGAGGAGGGGGCGGCCCGGGCACGGUGAGUCGGUACCGAGCGGAGGGGUGGGGGGAAGAGGAGGGGGGAAAGGAUCCUGUGUGUGUCUCUCUCGCUCCCUCUCAGAACAAAAUGCCGACCGGAAGUGCAGCUGCAGGAAUGACUCCCUCCACCGGCGCCAAACACCAACAGCCUCCCCCUUCCCUUCGCCGCCGCCUCCUCGCCCGCUCGCUCAGCCAGCGCCGCUUCCGCCGCCGCUCCGCGCCGCUCCCUCCCAGCGCCGCCGAACAGCGCCUGGCGGCGGGCGCGGCCCGCUCCGUGCGCGGCGCUCCCCUUGCCCAGCCCUCCGCCUGCCGCCGGGGCUCCUUGUUUCCUUUUCCUUUCCCUGCUGGUGUGCGGAAAGAGACCGGAGUUCGCGCUCAGGCCUGCGCUGAAAGGAAGGCACCCAGCGAUUUGUGAAGAAGUGGCCGUUGAAAAAAAAAUACAUGUUUUGGGUUUCUUUAUCGCUUUCCUUAAGGAUGGUGGGGAGGACUGCAAGUGACCGCAAAAUGCCACCUCGCAGGAGGCAGACGUAAAAAGGAGCCGUGUGAGGAGGCCACCAAGGCGGCAGCCCCCUCCGCCCCAGCGAGUGGGUUGCGGCAGCCCUGAAACACCGCUGGAGUUACUGUUACCGUUACUGUCCGCUUCUGCGUUUUAAAGAGACUGUGUCGCAGGAUCUGAAACACCGAAUGCUGAAAGCGUUGCCGGGGCCGGGGAUUUCCAGGCGGACUUCACGAAACGGAGUGGCUUUAUAAACAAGAAUUUUAGACGAGCAUGGGGGCAACUACAAAUGCUAAGGUAAAACUGAAUAAACAUGCACAGAAUAAUAGCGAAGAAGCAUUUACAUCUAAUGAAUUCACCGUAUAUUUUCAUACUCACUUCUUUUAUGAACUUCUCAGUACUUGGACAGAAAUCCUUCUAUAUUCUUGCUCAUCUAUGGAAUUCAGGAUUCGGCCAUACAAUUGGACACAGCAAGAUGUAAAUGUCCUGUGACAUAUAAACACACCCUUUCAGUUCUGGAUGGAUAUUAUUUGCACAAAGAUAUAAUAUCUUACACCAAACCACUUGAAUCUCUCUAAGUCUUAACGGUUUCCUGAGUAGUUCUCUAUCUUUAAGGCAGAUUUGAAGUCCAGCUCUCAAGCUUAACUAUUAAAUUCAUUAUGUUGGAUUAAUCAAAGUUUGUUUUACAAGUGUAUUUGUUUGAAAGUACACAAAUGAAGGUGGCACUGGAGAACACCCUAAUUCAGUUCUUCUAUCUAAUGGCUAUAUGCUCAUGUAAGUUUAAAGGAAACAGAGUAAACCAGAUUCUGAAAGAAAUGUAUUAUAUGCCUGUGUUAUAAGUCAAUAUAAAAGGUCCCAAUCCUACAACUGUUUAUGUAUGUAUAAUUUCAAAUUAUCCAUUUGAAAUAAUUAGUGUAGCAGAUGAAGCAUGUUCAUAAACCUUCAUGCUUAAAUUUAAUACAGUGCAACUCUGUAAGACAAGGGGGAAAAUAUCUGAGCUGAAGUUUCAAAAUCUACCUAUUUCGAGGCCACAUAUGUGUAUUAUGUAGACUAACCUGUAAAUUCAAAGGAAAAUUUGAUGCCAAAAAGGAUAAGGCUGGUGCAGGAAUGUUACUUCAAUCAACUUCCAACCUACUGUAAAUAAUUCAUGUUGUUGGAGAGUUUAUAUGAUUUUAUUAAUUCUUAAAAUGAUUUUUUUUCUUAAUGAAUUUACUAUGUAAAUAAAAUGUAAAUACUCCGAUUUUGUUUUUCAAAAGCCAGGUGUCUUCCGUAUCAAAUAUGGUUUAGGCUUUAGGUUCAUGUAAGAUACACCUACUUGACUAUUUUGCUUCUGUCAGAAUUUUCCUGUGAAAAUGUCACUGGCAAUAUUUUAGGCUUUUAUAAUCCUUUUUAACUAAAGGAAUUUCUGGAAGUGGCUAUUUUGUUUAAAUACUAUGAUGUCACUACCUACACAAGAAAACAACUAAUUCAUUAGUUGUUUUAGAAGGUGUUAUUGUAACACAUAUGAGUAAAUGAGAACUUUUUCCUUAAGGAAAAUGAAACCAUUAAAUAUGUUCAAUUCUAUUAGAUAUUACUGUAAUCCACUUUUAAAAAUGAUUCCUCAGCUGCAUUCAGACAAGUAUUCCUGUAUUCCUUUUGUCUUCAAAGGUCUACUCACAACAAAUAAUUGUGUAAUGAAAGCUCACUAGUUCCUAAAAAUAUUUCAGUACAUAUCGGUUAUAUCUCUUUUUACGUGAAAUGGACACAAAACAAGGUAAAAACAAGUACUUCUGAAUAUUAUCAGAAAGCAUAGCAAAAGAUAGUUUAAACCUUAUUUCUGCUCCAGGCCUUAGUCAUGGGGUGGAGGUAGUCCUAAUCUGUAGGGGAGGAGCUAUGCCGUCAUACAACCGUGACUGUGGCACAUUAAGGAAUGUACACUGCACUAAACAAAGCUGGUGGCAGUGUAGAGCAGGGCAAGGCUCUUCAAAUUCCACUGAGAAGUCCACACCUAUAUAGUUGUGAAAACGAACAGCAAAUUUCAGGGUAAAGCUUUAGCGCUUAAUCUACUCCCUUUGAAGUCAAGAGAGAAUGUGUUUUAUUUUUUCUCUAAACAAAUGAUUGGGCUGGCAUAAAUAUGAAGUAUUUGCACAGCCAGUUAUUCUGAGACUCAUUUCUUGUUCUUUAAAGAGAACAUAUAAUUCAGUAAUUUUAAUGUAACUUUAAAAGGCAGGAAUUAAAGACCUUCAUGCAGACAGCACUGUUCUCAAAACAUAUUUUUCAAACACUUUCCACCAAAAUAUGUACCAUUCUUGGUGCUUUUUAUGGCUUUCUGCUUGCAAAGACAGAAUGUUUGUGUACACUGUUUAAAACAGUGGAGAGGAAUCCUUACCCUCUUCAUUCUGAUGUUAACAUUCCUGACAGUUACAUGUUUUUAUUCAGAUUCAUAAAUUAUAGACAGUAUGUAAUAUUAUAGUAAAAACACACCUAGAACCAAUGUUUUCUUAAAAGUUGCUUGUUGAUAUUUGAUUUUUUUUCUCUAGAAUGAAUAAAAAAUGUAUUGUACUUCUCCACAUUUUGCUUUUUUAAAGGCUGGUAUAACAUGUCAUUGCAUGUCAUGUUAAGUAAUUAAUGGAAUGCACAAACAUUAUUAUAUUUACCUGUUAGUAAUUUAUAGACAGUAUGUAUUUCUGGGCAGAUUUUUUUUUAAAUAAAAGUGUUUAUUGUUCUUGU